AUCGCUUCUCGGCUCUCUGAGCUAAGAUCAUGUGUAGUAUCUGUUCUUUGCAGUGUAAUUUCUGCAACGGUCCCUAAUUUGGGGCCAGUGAAAUUACCUGUAUUUUUCUAAUCAGGACGGGUGCUGUGAGCUUGCUCAACCCCGUCCACGGGUCGGCCUCGUAUUGCAUUACAUCGAGGAUUGGCCAAUUCAUU
rnacentral:snRNA from 1 species